rnacentral:rRNA from 1 species
UACGGAGGGGGCUAGCGUUGUUCGGAAUUACUGGGCGUAAAGCGCGCGUAGGCGGACCUGCAAGUCGGGGGUGAAAGCCCGAGGCUCAACCUCGGAACUGCCUUCGAUACUGCGGGUCUCGAGUCCGGGAGAGGUGAGUGGAAUUCCUAGUGUAGAGGUGAAAUUCGUAGAGAUCGGGAAGAACACCAGUGGCGAAGGCGGCCGGCUGGGGGCGCCCUGACGCUGAGGCGCGAGAGCGUGGGGAGCAAACCGG